rnacentral:rRNA from 1 species
UGAUACUAAGCCAUGCGAGUCAUUGCAGUAAUGCAAGGCAGACGGCUCAGUAACGCGUAGUCAACCUACCCUAUGGACGGGAAUAACCUCGGGAAACUGAGUAUAAUGCCCGAUAGAACACUAUUCCUGGAAUGGUUUGUGUUCCAAAUGAUUUAUCGCCGUAGGAUGGGACUGCGGCCUAUCAGUUUGUUGGUGAGGUAAUGGCCCACCAAGACUAUUACAGGUACGGGCUCUGAGAGGAGUAGCCCGGAGAUGGGUACUGAGACACGGACCCAGGCCCUAUGGGGCGCAGCAGGCGAGAAAACUUUGCAAUGUGCGAAAGCACGACAAGGUUAAUCCGAGUGGUUUCUGCUAAAGGAACCUUUUGACAGUCCUAGAAACACUGUUGAAUAAGGGGUGGGCAAGUUCUGGUGUCAGCCGCCGCGGUAAAACCAGCACCUCAAGUGGUCAGGAUGAUCAUUGGGCCUAAAGCAUCCGUAGCCGGCUCUGUUAGUUUUCGGUUAAAUCUGUAUGCUCAACAUACAGGCUGCCGGGAAUACUGCAGAGCUAGGGAGUGGGAGAGGUAGACGGUACUCGGUAGGAAGGGGUAAAAUCCUUUGAUCUAUUGAUGACCACCUGUGGCGAAGGCGGUCUACCAGAACACGUCCGACGGUGAGGGAUGAAAGCUGGGGGAGCAAACCGGAUUAGAUACCCGGGUAGUCCCAGCUGUAAACUAUGCAAACUCAGUGAUGCAUUGGCUUGUGGCCAAUGCAGUGCUGCAGGGAAGCCGUUAAGUUUGCCGCCUGGGAAGUACGUACGCAAGUAUGAAACUUAAAGGAAUUGGCGGGGGAGCACCACAAGGGGUGAAGCCUGCGGUUCAAUUGG